rnacentral:rRNA from 1 species
ACUAGAGUAGCACUCGCAUAUCAAUAAGCGGAGGAAAAGAAACUAACAAGGAUUCCCCUAGUAACGGCGAGUGAAGCGGGAAGAGCUCAAAUUUGAAAUCUUAAAGGGUUUCCCUUUACGAAUUGUAGUUUAAAGAAGUGUUUUCUGUUGAGGUUUUGGUAAAAGUUCUUUGGAAUAGGACAUCAUAGAGGGUGAGAAUCCCGUAUUUGACCUUUACUUUCAACUUUGUGAUACACUUUCAAAGAGUCGGAUUGUUUGGGAAUGCAGUCCAAAAUGGGUGGUAAAUUUCAUCUAAAGCUAAAUAUUGGCGAGAGACCGAUAGCGAACAAGUACCGUGAGGGAAAGAUGAAAAGAACUUUGAAAAGAGAGUUAAACAGUACGUGAAAUUGUCAAAAGGGAAGCGUUUGACACCAGUGUUGUUUUUCUGAAAAUCAAUUAAAGAACUGUUUAUGCUAAGCUGUUUAGACUUUAUCAGCUAUCUGUUUAGUUUUGAGCUUUUCUUUAAUGCACUUUUCAGUUAACAAGUCAACAUCAAUUUCUUUUGCUGUAAAAAAGCUUGAGGAAGGUGGCUUGAGAUUCGUCUUAAGUGUUUAUAGCCUCUUGCCUAUGCAGUCGGAGAGAUUGAGGUCUGCAGCGUAGAUCCUUCGGGGCUAAACGCAUUUGUGCUAAGUUAUAGCAUUUUAUAGACAACUUGUUGACUAUGAUUUGUCUUGUAGCUUACUCGCUUAUGUUAUUUUACCUACGCUUAGGAUGUUGAACUACUGAGACAUAGA